GCAAGGCUGGGAGGCACAUGGGGAGCCGCCUGCAGAGAGGACGCCCCUCACGGGUGACCCCCUGACGCCCCUGGCUCAGCCUGCCCGCCUGCCCCUCUAGGAUCCAUCUCCUUGCCGAGAGGCCUCCUGGAGACCCCCGGGCACCGUGGUCCCCAAACAGCACCCACAAGCCUUGCCUUCCGCAGCUUAACCAGCUCUGGCCAUCAGCACGAGGCCCAUGGGAGCUGGGGGGUGGGCGAGCUUCCCCCUCAUCCCGCGGCCCGGCACCUUUCCUUUGGGUCAAAGUCCAGGAGCCCAAGGCUGGACACUGGGAAUCCUCUGGCCUCGAGUUCUCAGCCCUGGAGAGCGGGGUUGAUGCCUCCUCCCAUCAAAGCAAAAAGCAGAGGAGGUGGCAGGCGGGGUGGAGGGGACACUCACCCAUGUAUGUCUUCCAGAAUUCAUCCUGUCCGAGUUAACAUCAGAGUGUUAGAAAUCAAAAACCUGUUCUCCCACCUUCUCCUGCAGCUGAGCUUGAAGGUGGCUCAGUGGUAGAGAAUCGCCUGCAGUGCGGGAGAGGCAGGCUUAAUCCCUGGGUCAGGAAGAUCCCUGGAGGAGAGCAUGGCAACCAUCUCCAGUAUUCUUGCUGGGAAAUCCCGAGGCCAGAGGAGCCUGGCGGGCUGCAGUCCAUUGAGUCGCAAGAGUCGGACAGGACUGUGGGACUGAACAGCCACCCCAACGCGUGCUCCGCGUCCUGUUUGGUGUGUAUUUGCUGUGACCCACUUGAGGAAGGGAGAGUGUCAGUAGCUGAGACGCAGCACAGAUCCCACGGCCUCCCGGGCGCCUCCCGUCCUGGUGGUCUCCAGGACCCCACUUCGCAGAGUGCCGGAUGCAGAUGUGAGAAAUUCCCACCCCUUUUCCUGUUUUAUAAGCCAGUUCAGCAAGGAUGGAAGUUUGUAAAUUGCGUAUGGGAGGCGUUGUGUUCGGGCAGGGCAGCUAAAGGUGGGAGACCCCUCAGGCUUAAAGCCUGGAGGUAA
rnacentral:lncRNA from 1 species